CACGUAGGGUGCGAGCGUUGUCCGGAAUUAUUGGGCGUAAAGAGCUCGUAGGCGGUGUGUCGCGUCGGCCGUGAAAACCUGCAGCUUAACUGUGGGCUUGCGGUCGAUACGGGCAUCACUGGAGUUCGGCAGGGGAGACUGGAAUUCCUGGUGUAGCGGUGAAAUGCGCAGAUAUCAGGAGGGAACACCCGGUGGCGAAAGGCGGGUCUC
rnacentral:rRNA from 1 species